ACCUGACUGCUAUCGGAUUGAUACUAAGCCAUGCGAGUCAUUGUAGCAAUACAAGGCAUACGGCUCAGUAACGCGUAGUCAACCUAACCUAUGGACGGGAAUAACCUCGGGAAACUGAGAAUAAUGCCCGAUAGAACACUAUGCCUGGAAUGGUUUGUGUUCCAAAUGAUUUAUCGCCAUAGGAUGGGACUGCGGCCUAUCAGUUUGUUGGUGAGGUAAUGGCCCACCAAGACUAUUACAGGUACGGGCUCUGAGAGGAGUAGCCCGGAGAUGGGUACUGAGACACGGACCCAGGCCCUAUGGGGCGCAGCAGGCGAGAAAACUUUGCAAUGUGCGAAAGCACGACAAGGUUAAUCCGAGUGAUUUGUGCUAAACGAAUCUUUUGUUAGUCCUAGAAACACUAACGAAUAAGGGGUGGGCAAGUUCUGGUGUCAGCCGCCGCGGUAAAACCAGCACCUCAAGUGGUCAGGAUGAUUAUUGGGCCUAAAGCAUCCGUAGCCGGCUCUGUAAGUUUUCGGUUAAAUCUGUACGCUUAACGUACAGGCUGCCGGGAAUACUGCAGAGCUAGGGAGUGGGAGAGGUAGACGGUACUCGGUAGGAAGUGGUAAAAUGCUUUGAUCUAUCGAUGACCACCUGUGGCGAAGGCGGUCUACCAGAACACGUCCGACGGUGAGGGAUGAAAGCUGGGGGAGCAAACCGAAUUAGAUACCCGGGUAGUCCCAGCUGUAAACUAUGCAAACUCAGUGAUGCAUUGGCUUGUGGCCAAUGCAGUGCUGCAGGGAAGCCGUUAAGUUUGCCGCCUGGGAAGUACGUACGCAAGUAUGAAACUUAAAGGAAUUGGCGGGGGAGCACCACAAGGGGUGAAGCCUGCGGUUC
rnacentral:rRNA from 1 species